UCGUGAGCACGGAGCACAUGCACGCAAAGCAAAGUUGGAAGUAUACAGUUAUACGAGAAACAGAGAGUGAGGCGAGACACUCACACGGCUGCGCCCAGGCUGACACGCCCGAACACACUCGCUCAGUCGUAGGUUCCUCGAAGACAGUCACAAACAAGCGAAGAGUUGGGGCAGAAUGCGGUGCGUGUCGCGUGUCUUUUUCUGCGCUGCUGCCUCGACGGCCAACAGUGCCGGGGCAGCCUCCAAGGCUGCCGCAGCUGUUGCUGCCCCUCCGUCCACUCUGCCCGUCUUCAAGACUCGACCGAUCUACAUGGAUAAUCAGGCCACCACCCCGCUGGACCCCCGCGUGCUGGAUGCGAUGUUGCCCUACAUGACGGAGGAGUACGGCAACCCGAACAGUCGCACCCAUCAGUACGGCUGGAGCGCUGAGGAGGCGGUCGAGAAGGCGCGCAAGCAGGUCGCUGAUUUGAUUGGCGCAAGCCCAAAGGAGAUCUUCUUCACUAGUGGCGCGACGGAGUGCAACAACAUCGCCAUCAAGGGCGUCGGCAACUUCCUCAAGGCCAAGAAGAACCACAUCAUCACGCUACAGACCGAGCACAAGUGCGUGCUCGACUCGUGCCGCUACCUGGAGAUGGAGGGCUUCGAGGUGACUUACCUGCCGGUGCAGAAGAACGGAAUUUUGGACCUGAAGGUGUUGGAGGCGGCGAUCAAGCCCACCACAUGCCUCGUCUCCUGCAUGGCGGCGCACAACGAGAUUGGCGUGCUGCAGCCCAUCCGCGAGAUCGGGGCGCUGUGCCACUCCAAGAAGGUCCUCUUCCACACCGACGCGGCACAAGCUCUGGGCAAGGUCAAGGUCGACGUGAACGCCGACAACAUUGAUGUCAUGUCAAUGUCCUCGCAUAAGGUUUACGGUCCGAAAGGCUGCGGUGCCCUCUACGUGCGGCGUCGCCCGCGCGUGCGCAUUCGCUCCCCUGUCAGCGGCGGCGGGCAGGAGCGUGGCGUUCGGAGCGGCACCGUCGCGACUGCGCUCGUUGUCGGCAUGGGCGCUGCUUGUGAGGUUGCCAUGAAGGAGUGGGAGCGCGACGCGGCGCACACGCAGAGGCUGCAGGAACGUCUGCUGAACGGACUGCAGAGUCGCCUGUCACACCUUGUCGUGAACGGUGACUUGAAACACCGUCUGCCGGGAAACCUAAACAUCAGCUUCUCCUGUGUGGAGGGCGAGAGUUUGCUCAUGGGCAUGAAGGAUGUGGCGGUGUCAAGCGGUAGCGCCUGCACGAGCGCAUCGCUCGAGCCCAGCUACGUCCUCCGCGCCCUAGGCGUUGACGCUGAAAACGCGCACACCUCCAUCCGCUUUGGCAUUGGCCGCUUUACCACUGCGAAGGAGGUGGACCUCGUCAUCGAGGAGUGCGUCAAGAACGUCGAGCGCCUGCGCGAGUUAUCGCCGCUGUGGGAUUUGAUGCAGGAGGGCAAGACGCUUGCGGACGUGCAGUGGCGUUAGCUUUGAUGCACUACUAUCAAAAGCACAGGAGAGCAGAGAGAACUUGUGGCACCUGGCCAACGGGCGGAGACGGAGGGAGCGAGAGCGAGCGAGAGAGACACGCAGAGGCCAGUUUUGGGUAACCGAGGCAAGCGUGAGUCAAGAUCCAUAUGUGCACGCUUGAUGAUACCCCUCUUCCUCCAUAAAGUUUGCACUUGCAACCCUCCUCACACUUUUUCGUUCUCGGAGGCCACACGUGUCCAUCCCUCUCUCCCCCACUCGCUCUAUGCCUGUAUCUGCGCGUGCGGGCGAGGUCUUCGGUGUGCUUGCAACGUAUUAG
rnacentral:misc_RNA from 1 species